UACGUAGGGGGCAAGCGUUGUUCGGAAUUACUGGGCGUAAAGGGCGCGUAGGCGGCACGGCAAGUCAGGAGUGAAAGCCCGGGGCUCAACCCCGGAAUGUCUUUUGAAACUGCCGAGCUAGAGUGCGGAAGAGGCAACUGGAAUUCCCAGUGUAGCGGUGAAAUGCGUAGAUAUUGGGAAGAACACCUGAGGCGAAGGCGGGUUGCUGGGCCGACACUGACGCUGAUGCGCGAAAGCGUGGGUAGCAAACAGG
rnacentral:rRNA from 1 species